AGCAGGCUGCGGCGACCGCCGCCGCCGCGGCGGCCGCAACCGCUGCUGCGGAAACCAACGGUGGUGGCGCGGGUGAGGAUGGCGGCGCCGCAGCUGCGGGUGAGGAUGGCGGUGGUGGUGGCGGCGCCGGGGAGGUGCUGCUGCCGCUUCCAGAUGCCAUUCCGGAGGAUCUAUAUAGCUUCGAGCUUGGGAACGAGUGGGAGCGACAGGCGUUGCGGCAGCUGGUGCAAAAAGAACGGCAGGCUCGGCAACAACAACGGCAGCAGCAGCAGCCGGUACAGCUGAAGGACCAACAAAACUCCACAUCAAAGGAUACUGCCAUUGCAGAAACCGGCACUUCAUCCAGCACUGCUGCGGCAGCAACGGCAGCCUUGGAGGAUGGGGAGCUGCCGGCGGAAGCAGCGGCGGAGCAGCUGCUGGAUUUACCGCCACUACCGGAGGAGAUCGAAGCGGUACGCAAAGCAGAGCAAGCGGCGCAGGCGGCGGCAAGGAAGGCAGAAAAGGCGUUGCGGAAACAGCAGCAGCAGGUCCAGGUCCAGGAGCAGGAGUCCGCGCAGCAGCAAGAGCAGCAGCAGGAUUAUGUGCUGCAAGGGAGGCCAGUGCAGGCGUACGGAUACAAUGGAUACGGCAACGGUUGGUAUGGGUACGGCGGGUAUGAUUACAGCGGCUAUGGUUAUGGAGGUCCUGCGGCAAGUUGCGACAGG
rnacentral:lncRNA from 1 species